rnacentral:tRNA from 1 species
ACCUGCCUGGCUCAGUGUUGGAGCAUGUGACUCUUGAUCUCAGGGUUGUAAGUUUGAACCCCAUGUUAGGUA